AAUCUACUGUUCCAUCUAGAAUAUCAUAAAUAUUUUUUUUUUUUACAUAAUAAAAUAAAUAUUUUUAUUGAUAUUUUAUGUGUAAACACUAUUUAAAUUUUAAACUAUUUUUAAUUGUAACCUAUUGGUUCUUUUUUAAUGUUGUUACAAACCUAUUGUUAUUAUAAACAAAAUUCUUCAUUUAUUUGGCAAAAAUAUUCAUGUUAUUUCCAUUAUGUUUUAGUUAUUAUAUGUUGAUUAUGGAACAAUUAAAGUAGUAUCAAAAACAAAUGUAAGACUUUUAGCAUCACAAUUUGGAGCAUACCCUAUUCCAGCAGUACAUUGUGGUUUGUACAAUUUUAGCAAAUUGAAUUAUCAAAGAGAGAUAAGUGAAUCUUUUGCUGAAAUCAUGUGCUAGAAGCACAAUUUCAUCACCCACAUUUUGAAGAUGAUUCUCAAAAAAUGAAUGUCACAUUAUUUUUGAAUACUGUACACAACAAAAUUAAUAUAAACAAAAAAUGUUUUGAAGUAAUCAUGAAUCAAAUAACACAAAUCCAGAAUAAAUUUAAAGAAUGAUUUGUAGAGUAUUGCAAGGAAAACAAUGGACUUGAGUUUAAAAAGAUAAAAGUAAAGCAACAAGAAAACAAAAAGUUCUUCGUUUACCAGAUACUUUUAUUUUUAUUUUAAAUUAUAUUAUUUAAUGUAUAAUUGCCACUUGAAGUGUAAUUAAGUACAAAUUAUUAUAAAAAUUAAAAGUCCUAAUAUU